CUCAGUUGGUUAAGCAUCUGACUCUUGGUUCGGCUUAUGCCAUGAUCUCAGAAUCAUGAGACCGAGCCCGCAUUGGUCUCCAUACUCAGCACAAGUCUGCUUGAAUAUUCUCUCCCUCCGCCUCCCAUUCUGCC